GUAGUCUCGCACAGAUGCAUAUCAAUAAGCGGAGGAAAAGAAACUAACAAGGAUUCCCCUAGUAACGGCGAGUGAAGCGGGAAGAGCUCAAAUUUGAAAUCUUCAAGGGUUUACCUUUACGAAUUGUAGUUUAAAGAAGUGUUUUCUGUUGAAGGUUUUGGUAAAAGUUCUUUGGAAUAGGACAUCAUAGAGGGUGAGAAUCCCGUAUUUGACCAUUUACUUUUCAACUGUGUGAUACACUUUCAAAGAGUCGGAUUGUUUGGGAAUGCAGUCCAAAAUGGGUGGUAAAUUUCAUCUAAAGCUAAAUAUUGGCGAGAGACCGAUAGCGAACAAGUACCGUGAGGGAAAGAUGAAAAGAACUUUGAAAAGAGAGUUAAACAGUACGUGAAAUUGUCAAAAGGGAAGCGUUUGACACCAGUGUUGUUUUCUCGAAAAUCAAUUAAAAAGAGUUAGAUUUUGUUGUGUAUUGACCUUAACAGCUUGCAUUUCAAUUUUCUUGCUUUUUUUAAUGCACUUUUCGUUUAACAAGUCAACAUCAGUUUCUUUUGUUGUAAAAAGGUCAUUGGAAGGUGGCUUUCUUUUCGGAGAAAGUGUUUAUAGCCUUUGACUCCUGCAAUCGGAGAGACUGAGGUCUGCAGCGUAGAUCCUUCGGGGUUAGAUAGCAUUUGUGCUAAGUUAUAGCUUUUUAUAGACAACUUGUUGACUAUGAUUAGUCUUGUAGCUUACUCGCUUAUGCUAUUUUACCUACGCUUAGGAUGUUGAUGUGAUACUGCGAGCA
rnacentral:rRNA from 1 species